rnacentral:rRNA from 1 species
AAACAUGGCUCUUUGAAUUAUUUUUAUAGGGAGUCAGGCCUGCCCAGUGAAAUUUACUUUAACGGCCGCGGUACUCUGACCGUGCAAAGGUAGCAUAAUCAUUUGCCUUAUAAUUGAAGGCUAGUAUGAAUGGUUUAACGAGAGCAGCACUGUCUCUUUUUUAUUUUCAAGAACUUAACCUUUAGGUGAAGAGGCCUAAAUUUUAUUGAAGGACAAGAAGACCCUGUCGAGCUUAAAAGACACUAUAGAAGUUUAUAUAUACCUAAAUAAAUUUUCUGUUAAGCUUUUUAGUUGGGGCGACUAAGGAACAAAAAAAGCUUCUUAAGCAAAACAAACAUUCAAGUUUUGAUCCGGUGAUAGCCGAUUUAAGGAAUUAGUUACCGCAGGGAUAACAGCAUAAUCUCUCUUGAGAGACCUAAUCGAAAGAGGGGGUUGUGACCUCGAUGUUGGACUAGAAUAUCCUAAAGAUGCAGAAGUCUUUAAGGGUCGGUCUGUUCGACCGUUAAAAUUUUACGUGAU